GCAGUGGGGAAUUUUGGACAAUGGGGGAAACCCUGAUCCAGCCAUGCCGCGUGAGUGAAGAAGGCCUUCGGGUUGUAAAGCUCUUUUGUCCGGAACGAAACGGUUGGCGUGAAUAUCGCGACUACUGACGGUACCUGAAGAAUAAGCACCGGCUAACUACGUGCCAGCAGCCGCGGUAAUACGUAGGGUGCGAGCGUUAAUCGGAAUUACUGGGCGUAAAGCGUGCGCAGGCGGUUAUGCAAGACAGAUGUGAAAUCCCCGGGCUCAACCUGGGAACUGCAUUUGUGACUGCAUAGCUAGAGUACGGUAGAGGGGGAUGGAAUUCCGCGUGUAGCAGUGAAAUGCGUAGAUAUGCGGAGGAACACCGAUGGCGAAGGCAAUCCCCUGGACCUGUACUGACGCUCAUGCACGAAAGCGUGGGGAGCAAACAGGAUUAGAUACCCCUGUAG
rnacentral:rRNA from 1 species